GACGGAGGGGGCAAGCGUUGUCCGGACUCACUGGGCGUAAAGGGUGCGCAGGCGGCGUCGCAAGUCAGGCGUGAAAUCCCCGGGCUUAACCUGGGAACUGCACUUGAAACUACGAUGCUGGAGUAUGGCAGAGGGAGGUGGAAUUCCACGUGUAGCGGUGAAAUGCGUAGAGAUGUGGAGGAACACCGAUGGCGAAGGCAGCCUCCUGGGCCAAUACUGACGCUCAUGCACGAAAGCGUGGGGAGCAAACAGG
rnacentral:rRNA from 1 species